GGCAGCCGCGGAGCGCGUCGCACACGUUUCUAAACUGCUCUUCUGCAAUUCCCAGGUUUUUCGCCACGGACUUACAAGCAAAUUCGGAGCGAACAACGUUUCCGGGACUGAACCACGCUGGUGCCAAACCUCGCCGACAUCGCCCGGACCAGAGGCAUUUCUUCUUUGAAAUUGGCGCGGCAAGAAAUUGGACACUGACGUAUGCAUCCCCUGCUGGCGUGGAUCAACAAUCUUGAUCAUUUCGUGGGGCGUUCCCGUUCACUUGACGGCAGCCGCGGAGCGCGUCGCACACGUUUCUAAACUGCUCUUCUGCAAUUCCCAGGUUUUUCGCCACGGACUUACAAGCAAAUGCGGAGCGAACAACGUUUCCGGGACUGAACCACGCCGGUGCCAAACCUCGCCGACAUCGCCCGGACCAGAGGCCUUUCUUCUUUGAAAUUGGCGCGGCAAGAAAUUGGACACUGACGUAUGCAUCCCCUGCUGGCGUGGAUCAACAAUCUUGAUCAUUUCGUGGGGCGUUCCCGUUCACUUGACGGCAGCCGCGGAGCGCGUCGCACACGUUUCUAAACUGCUCUUCUGCAAUUCCCAGGGCUUUCUUUCAGGAAUACCUAAGGAUGACUUUCUAAGAUAGGAGACUGCCAAGAUGACUGAUUCAGUGGGUGACGUGACACCGCUAUCGAGCAGUUACGCAAUGGUUGAGUCAGAAAAAGAGAGGAAAGAAGACGCAGACCAGACGGGCAGCGAUAACACGUCUUUGUCAACGUUGAGCGCCCAUAAACAAGAAGGAAAUGGAUGAAACACAUCUGUAAUACGAUGGAAGCCACGCCAGCAUGUGUAGAGAAGCCUACCGGUCGGCAUUCGGGCACGUCUGCUUGCCGGGAACACUCAUUCACUGGGUUAAUAAAAACAAGUCGGUGAAUUUACCGUAAUUAUUGAUUUCUUUUUUCUGCCACCACCCGCAUUCCCGAAUUAAUUGAUUUGUCUGACCUGUACAAGCGGCGCGUGCUCAGAGUGGCGUGAUAGCUGUACGUCAUCGCAUGCGAUAUGCUAAACCGUAUGAAGGAAAGCCGCCUGAGCUAUUAGCCCGGAGAACGAACGUGAGCGGCGCUGCGAGCGCCGCUCGC